UUAUUAAUGAGGGGGGCUUGUCGAUGUGGAGUUACGUCGCGAGCCUUAAGGACAUUCCUGCGUGAUUAUAGUAGGUAUAGCAGACUACAGAGACAAGCAUCAAUCAAUCGACACACUGUGCUAGAACAUUCACGUUUUUACUUUUGUUAAACUAAAAUAUAUGCACACAUAUAUAGGGUAAUUAUAUCAUUACUGCACACUAUAUAUUAAAAAAAAACUGGAUUACAUUUUCUCUUGUUAUGUUCUACAAAGCGGGCCUUGAAUGCAGCACAGGGAAUUGUAAAUUUGCUGCGACAUUUACAGAUUGUUUACGGCUGAUAACGGAAAGUUCCUCAUGUCUGCAAACGUGUUUAACUCGGCUUUGCCAAACAAAGUUGUGUGUAAUCUAAAUGACCUUUAGAGCGUUACGAAACCAACUAAUAAGGGCCGAUGUACUUCCACGUUCUUUUAUUGCAGGUAGGUUUCUUUUCUGCCCGAUAUCAUUUGCCCGUGCGUGAGUUGUUAGGCAGGAACCUUUCGCAAUAUAUCUACGGUUAGGCACACGGCUCUAAACGGAAUGGCGCUUUCGGCUGAGUUUUCUCGUUUGAAUUGAGCCACGCAACGUGCCAGUGCAGAAAUGAAAUCUGCUGGCCCCGUGUGGGAGGAGUCUUGACGUGGAUGAUUUGUUAGCAACAGCUGAACAAAAAACUCCUCCCUCCAAGGAACAUGCGCACGCACACAGAGAAGAAGCGGUAAGUUCGAGACACAGAAUCCGCAGGGGCGAGACGCACUCGCCAGCGCUCGUGUGUGUCCGAGACAAGCGCGGACACACACGAUGUGACCUCAAUUUCCGAGCUAGCUUUCAAGACAGGAGAUAGUGUCGGGAGUACAUCGCUAACCCGUUUGCGUUUGUCGGACGAGGAGAGGGUGAAAGUGGGACUGUUGAGUGAAUUUGUCAGAUUUUCCCACGUCGAAAGGAGCAAGCUGACACUGCCUUCCAAGUGUACUUACAAGCAUGAGAGUCUGAGAAUACCCCGACUGCUCUGAUCAAGAAACAAGACAUGCGUAUUCGGACUUUACAGAGAAUAUCUUCACCUGCACGGUCAUUAAAUGUUAUGUUGAUGCUUCUGCUCUGCACGCAUGUCAUAAAGGGAAAUGUCGAUAAGAGAAAUUUAAAUUGUAAUAAAAUGAUCGAUGUCAAGGCAAGACAAUAUAUUGAUGAAUUUAGCAAAAGCCACGAUAAAAGACGUCCUAUAAAUUAUCUUCAAGUGAAUUAUACAUUCUCAAAUGAGGCAAGCAACCACUACCGCAUUUACAUUCGACAUUCACAUAUACUUUAUGUUUGUUUGCUUAAAUUGCCUUGCAAAUAUUUUUAAUCGAUUAUUUUUUUUUACAUUUUAGGAGAAAGACUGUAAGAACAUCAUCAAUAUUUGUUUGAUAAGCAUAUAUUUUAACGAAUACAAAACAAAUGUUGGAGAAGGGUCAUGUCCUCAUGAAAUCACAUCUUACAUUUCUGAAGCGUUAAAUGAUGGCUGUAACAAUACGUUCAAAUUGCCGGGCUUACAGAAAAUGAACAUAAGGUACGUGAGUAAUGUUGAAGAAAAUCUGAACAACUUCAUGGUCCAUUUUAAUUCAACAAUAGAGAGAGUUGAAGAAUACUUGAAGAAAUGUCCAGACAAUCUUAAAAAGAAUGAAGCUGUUUGCACAAAUUUUAUCCGAGUAACUACUGGUGGCGAGCCUCAUACGGAAACACAAGCAUGGACAUUGACAGCGUCGGAUGAUAUUAAAGCUUACAAAAUCAUCUUGAUUGCAACGAAUACAUCAUUUUCGAUCGUAAUAUUUAUACUAUUGAUCAUAUUGGUAAUAGUCUCAUGGCUUCUGCUUCGUGCAAGGCGCAGACAUAUGGCUUCAGAGGGACAGCAAUCCCGGUGUGAAGAAUUGGGAAUUGUGAUUGAUGAAUGGCCCAGCACACGUGAUCAAAGUCUUCAACCUGUUGAUUUGCAGCAAGUAGCUUCAAAGCAUAAAAGACGCGGACAUCAAAACCACAGACGUUGGCUCUGAUGAAAAUAAUCAAUCGGAGGCUCCUGUACGGUCUCCUGCCUCCUCGUAGGCCGGAAAACCUGGGAUGUGGUGUGGUUGCACUGCCUAAAAGGUCAACAGGUUAAACUGCUCGACGAAGGUGUACAUGUUCAUUGAACACCGCAAAAUAAAACACCCCCUACGGCUUUGAAGGCAAUCAUCGGCAGCAAGCGUCUGCCUUUAAAUGCAUUGACGCCCGCGUGUGUGGAGAAGAGGGACGUGACACGAACUGCUGGCAGUCCUCCACGUCCACGAAGCCGCCCGAACGUUGUCACUCAAUGGCAUCAUCGAGAGCAUACCUGCCUUGGAUAUGAAAGCCUUCUGACAAAAAAAAAACCUCUCUCAAAAAACACCCCUGAGAGAUAGAGAGCGUGCAACGAACGACAGAGAUCCCUGCAAAGAAGAGGACACAGAUACCGAAUCAAAACUGCGACGUGUUGACACGGUGGUCCGAGGUGAAUGGUGACCGGCUGCAAAGGGCGGCGAUGGAGGAAGACCUUGAUGUGAAUGGACGUCAACCGUCGGGACACUGGACGGGAAUGGAAGCUGGCUCAGUUGAAAGGUGCAGCGAUGGACAGGGAGAAAGUCGAUAGGCUGGCAAGGAGAGUUGAGUGAGCCUCAACAGCUCAAGGGACCAAAGAACGAGCGGAAGAUAAAUGACAGCGUGAAAUAUGGGUUCAGCUUGGUUUGCACAACUAUCAACUCGAAACACCAGUUAACUUCAAUUGUUUUUUUUUCUUUCACAAAUCACAUUCUGGAUAACUGAGCGGAACUUGCAACGUGUUUUUAAACAACACUGCAACUUUUGUGUUCAAGCUUACAACGAUAUGAUCAGAUAGAAAAAUAUCAUCCAGCCAUUCAGGUUUUCUUAAACCUUGACACUGAAAAGCAAUAAAUGCUUACGCCUGAAUACCACGUACAAAUACCUCUUAAAUAUGUAUAUUGUUGUACUUUUUAACUUGGUCGAUCGGCCUAGAAAUAAUGACUUGUUUCAGUUGUAAAUCAGUUUGUGAAUGACACUCCAACGUAAGUGUAUCCUACAUAUAAGAAAAACAACUAAACACAUUAGUCUGUAACACUGGCGUCUUGAUGGGGCAGGGUUGUUGGUGAGUGUGUUGAAUUUUUUGUUGUUGCUAUGUGCACUUGUGCAUCACUCUUAAAGUAAUACACGUGUGUUUCCUCCAUAAAACACUCCCUUAGAGGCCACUGA